ACCGAAGUCUCCCACGGAACAAGCACCACCCUCUUUUACCCAAGCCAGUGCCUGUGUCCCUCUAGUCAACACCCUCAAGCUCAGCCCAGACCUAGAGUCAGACCCUGGGGGCAGCGCCGCAUUUUGGCUUUCGAGGCUUAUCAGCCAUCCCAACGCUGACGGCCACCCCACCUACAGCUCGAGGACCUCACUGUGGAGAUGGCCGCUGUGGGUUACAAACAAGAGUGAAGCCCCUGUCCUGCCUCAGUGUGUGGAGCAUCUUCCCCAGUCACCUAGUGCUUUGCAGGCCCUGAAGGUUCGCCACAGUGUUGGGGUGGCUUCUGAAUCAGGAGAACCUGGGUUGCUUUGCCACAAGUGUGACUUGCAACAUUUUGUAUCUACUCUGAAAAUUUCCCGGCUGGUUUCCAUAGUGCCUUAUUGAGCCCUGACUGUAAUCCAAGGAGGUAGAAACUGUUGCUUCCCAUGGCAGACUUGAGAUGAAGUGCCUUGCUAAAGAAGGUAUCCCUAUUGAAGAGUGGAGAGCCUCCUAGGCCCCACAGGACAGCCUCACAAAGAUCCAACAGAUGUUUCAGCGCAGACAGACUACCAGUUAGGAGGACUAUGCCGCUGUUCUGCCUGAUGUGGGAUUCCAGCAGCUCAAAGUGGAAUGGAAACUGUUGAACAGCGGUCAGCAUCUACAGUCUAAUUUACUGAGGGCUUUCCAAUCAUUAAGUUGAUGGAACAGCCUAUGGACCGUGUUUCUUCACCACUUCCUUGGUUCUCCUCUCCUCUAAGUACUCUGGUCUUCUCUGAGGUAAAGGAUCACGUUGGUACCCCUAGCCAACGGGCUGACUAUGGCCUGAACAAACCGUGAAGGAUCCACCAGCAGAAGACGCCCAGGCACACUGCUCAUCAUCAUUGUGCUCUGUGAUCACAACUACUCUCUCUACCACUAGGUAGACUGAAUAGAAUACAACGCCGAACUACCAAUCGUGGCAAUGCCUGCACCAGCCUAGAAAGCCUCCAUGAAUGCCUUUGUGCCAGACUUCGCAAUAGUUCCCAAGUUAUGAAUGAGGUCAGCCAUGGUCAUGCCAAUGCCUGUGUCCACCAAUGUCAGUGUGUGUUCCUAAGGAUUGGGCAUGAUGUCAAUUUUCAGCUUUAACUCUGUCUAACUUGGAAGGGUCUGUGAGGCUUUCAAAGUGUAUUUUUUCUAAAGCAUCAGAAGCAUUAGAGAUCAACGCCUGAAAGAAAAUUCCAUUGUUUGAAUAGAACAUCUUGAUGAUAAGGGACAAGAGCAGAACAGUUUCUACCUGAAAGGCAAAGGUCUCCACCUCUUCCUCUCUAUGGCGCACUUCCUCAGGCAUCCUAACAGGAAAGCUAAGUGGUAGUACAGGGCAGGGUAGACCUGUCCUGCAUCGGACUUGCAUGCCAAACCCAGGCUGCACAGGGUUUACUCGGGAGCUUGUUUUCAUUUCUGGUAUGAGCAUUUCUUUGUCAAUCUUAAGUAUUAGAUAUUUUAUAAAUUAAAGAUGUCAUGCGAUUCUGUGUUUUGGAAAGUA
rnacentral:lncRNA from 1 species